AACAAAACUAAAAUUAAAUUUACCACAAGGUUGAUAAGAUAUUGGCCAAGAGUUGAAAUUACUUUGAGACACAGAAGAUAAUAGUUUUCAAUGUUGGAUAAGAUCCUCGAUCCUGUGAGCUGGGUUCAGAUUCAUAGACGUACACUGUAUCUGCUCUUAGGACAAGACUCCACACACUUGGGUUUCUAACUUAAAAGAAAAAAGAAGGCAAAACUAUUAUCAAAACAGUGCAAAUAGAUAAUGUAAGAAUAGAGGACAAAGUUAUCUGGUGAUCAGGUGAACAUCCAUAGGACUUGGAGCUGAGAGAGAUGCAGUUCAUCUUGCCUUCUUCUGAAAGCAGGCAAUCUUGUUUUACAGCAGGUUGUAAAGAAAUAGUCAUUCUUGGUCCCUGGCAAGCAACAGGCACUUACAGAGAUUCACAAUUUACAUCAUCAUCAACAAAUACAAUAGUUAAAUAUUUUCUAGCAAUGUAUGAAAUGUAGAUAGAUACCUUCAAAUCUUUGUCAGGUAGGAGAUAUGGAUAUGUGUCAUAGAAUGCCCUGAUAUUUUCAGAAACUUUGAUGACAAAAAAUGAUGAGCCAGAUGUGAUUAGUGUAUACCUGUAAUCCCAGUGAUUUGGGAGGCUGAAGCAGGAAGAUCUCAAGUUCAAGGCAAUCUCAACAACUUAGUGUGGUCUUAAGCAACUUAAAGAGACUCUGCCUCAAAAGAAAAAAGAAGAAGCAAGAAGAGGAGGAAGUGGUGCAGGAGGAGGAGGAGGAGAAGAAGAAGGAGAAGGGAUAAAGGGCUGGGGAUAUGACUCAGUGGUUAAGAACCCUUGGGUUCAAUCCCUGAUACCAGAAAAAAAAAAAAAAAGCUGGUGAAAAAUAUGUCUUAAAAGUUACACGCGGGUCUGGGGUUGUAGCUCAGUGGGAAAGUACUUGUCUAGCAUGUGUGAGGCACUGGGUUCCAUUCUCAGCACCACAUAUACAUAAAUAAAUAAAAAUUUAAAAACAUUUUUUUAAAAAGUUGCAAGCACAUUUUGAAUUUACUUUUGGUAAAUUUUUUUUUGUUCUGGAGAAACAUUUUCAGACAGAUUUUUAAUAACAUAAAUAUGAAUCGAAGAAUCAAGAAGCCCCCUACUCUUUUGCUUUUAGGAAAACUGAUGUCAUUGUUUACCUCUGUACAGAAUGUUAAAAAAACCAGCUAAAUUCUCUGGAUGGUCAUAUGUAU
rnacentral:lncRNA from 1 species